rnacentral:sRNA from 2 species
CCAAGCCAAAGAAUCCCCGCGGGUGGUGCAAGCAAGUGCCUCGGUCGGCUGCCGUUAGCGAGCUGCAGGGCCGAAAGCCCAACUGCCAGCCUCCUGGAUUAGCAUGCCCAUCCCCAGUUCGUCAGCACCUGAUCGCGCAGGAACGCGAAGGUUGUGUUUAAAUCUUUGAUUUGAAUCGCGUUCGAGAAGAAAUCUGGGUUGUACAUCGUCAACAUUGGACUAUUCUUGUUAGAAUUGCAACAACCUCUUCGCGCCCGAUAUGCAUGUCACAUAGAAGGUUUGGUUUCGAACUCCUUGAGAAAUGACCAGCCCAAUCCAGCUUCUGCUUCGCAUGACAAUGAAUGGUCUAGUGUUUACGCGACGAUCGUGGUUAAUCGGCAAAUCGUUUGUCCUCCCUUCUAUGACUUGAUAAUAUACAACCCCACCACCAUUGUUAGCUUCAAUGCAUGACGAACAGGAAGGGUGAGGAGAGCAGGUGGAAAAGCACCAUCGCGUCAUUGAUUGACAGCUGGCAGUCACCGUGCAGGUUUGGGCGUCGCGUUGGGUAGAGUUCUUGCAGGUUGGGGCAACGAAUCAUGGUCAUGGCUAUGUCAAACCGUAGAUGUUCUUCAGGGUUCUUUCUGCCUGAAGGAAAUGGGGCGAGAUUUUUAUCCUUCUGCCCGCGUUUCAGGUCAAUGUUGGAUUUUGGCCCCUUGAUGCGCUCCGUCUGAAGCCCGGAAGAUGAACUAAAUCUUUUGACGGAUUGUCUAUGUAUGUGUGAAGAACAUGUUCCCCCACCAAUGAACCGAUCCCCCACACCGAGAAUGGAGAUGCUGAAGACAAUAAUGGAAUAUCACAUUUCAUUUUCUGUUCGUUUCGUCCCAUAAAAGUGUUGUUCUUGUUGUGGUUCUACACUGUAGUAAAAGAUUCUUUCUGUUAAUUACCAACUUGGUGUCUGACUCGGAGAGCAACAAAAUCUCAGCUAUAGGCGAUAUUUAUAGUGCGUGAAAACCGAGGCGUCAAAAGAAAUCAAAGAUCCAUACUGGCCUACUGACAGGUGCUCCGCCUGGUUUAUAACAUCCCGCAAAUAGUUUCAUAUCGAGAUUCAACGGGCUGGAGAGUUUCUAAGUAGUUCAGUCACAUAUUUGUACAUAUCGACCUGUAGGUAGAAAAAGACUGAAAGCAACUGCUUCCGACAAUAAAACCAUCUUCCUGUUCGGCUGGCUUCAUGAUAUUGAUGGGCAGGAACGAAGCAACUGCGGACAUUGUGGAUUCAGCAAAUUAUUCUAACUCCCAAUCCGUCUUCUCUUGCAUGAAUUUCACGAAGUCACUAAGCAUAGUCUCUGAAUACCAGUGACCCAGCCCUUCAUACUCAUUCCACGAAACAUGCAUUCCAAGUGCCUCAACACAGGCAACUGCUUCUCUUCCCAAACGGAUAGGAACCGUCAUAUCUUCAACCCCAUGGCCGAGAAAGAGUGGCGUCUGCUGAAAAAGAAAACCUUGAGAGGAUGAGGGGAGCUGCAGAGGGCGGGGAAUCUGAAGCUCGCCCCUGAAGAAGUCAAUAGCAUUACCAACCGCAUCACUGCCAUUUUUAGAUUUGAUUUCACUUUCACCAUCUGUGCUAGAAAGUUGAUUGAGCCUCUCUCCCUCGAUCGUUUGAUCAUCCUCCCCUCUGCCGCCUGUUAGAAUACUCCUAAUCCGCUUUUCAAAUGGCAGUCUGCCACAGAACCCAACAAGCGCGCCUAACACCUCGCUUUUCUCUCCCCCUUCCCCAAUGCCAUCCCAGAGUAAACAUGCCACAAUACUGGUAGCGCAUCCCUGGCUCAGCCCCCCCAAAAGGAGAUUCUUCGCGCCACCUUCGACCAACGAAAUCUCCCGCUGCAGUAAAUCAUGUAAGAAUUGCGUCGAGUCCCGUAGUCCACUACUCUGCAACGAGUCCCGCGCAAGGGGGAAUGGUCGGUCGCUGUUGUCAUCUGUAGGAGAUGAAGACGACGGCAGCCACCAGAGAUCAAACCACUGGCUCAUGAGAUCGCUGUUGUGUUGUUGGGGACGUCGCAGUGGUGCCGUUGGGAAAACAAAUUUUGCGUGAGGGAAAGCAUCUUGUAGGGUACCGAAUUUGGGAUUAGAAGGCUGUGAGACGGAUGGCAGAGGAAAUGACGUCGAGAGGAUAUCACGUCCGAAACUAGGACCAUCGUCACCCCUCCCGUGGAGCAAGAUUAUUGUUUGCUUGUGAGAUUUGAGAGGCUGGAUGAUAAAGGGUGGAGGAU